rnacentral:rRNA from 1 species
UACGGAGGGUGCAAGCGUUAUCCGGAUUCACUGGGUUUAAAGGGUGCGUAGGCGGGUUGGUAAGUCAGUGGUGAAAUCUUCAAGCUUAACUUGGAAACUGCCGUUGAUACUAUCAAUCUUGAAUAUUGUGGAGGUAAGCGGAAUAUGUCAUGUAGCGGUGAAAUGCUUAGAUAUGACAUAGAACACCGAUGGCGAAGGCAGCCCCCCUGGGUCAAGAUUGACGCUCAUGCACGAAAGCGUGGGGAGCAAACAGG